rnacentral:rRNA from 1 species
CCUUCGGGUUGUAAAGCUCUUUCGGUCGGAAAGAAAGCUUGCCUGCGAAUAGUGGGUGAGGUUGACGGUACCGGCAGAAGAAGCACCGGCUAACUACGUGC